rnacentral:tRNA from 1 species
GGGGGAUUAGUUCAUUCGAGAGAACAUCGCUUUUGCAAGGCGAAGAGCGCGGUUUGAAUCCGCGAUCCUCCACCA